UGACAUCCACGGAAGUUUUCAGAGAUGAGAAUGUGCCUUCGGGAACCGUGAGACAGGUGCUGCAUGGCUGUCGUCAGCUCGUGUUGUGAAAUGUUGGGUUAAGUCCCGCAACGAGCGCAACCCUUAUCCUUUGUUGCCAGCGGUCCGGCCGGGAACUCAAAGGAGACUGCCAGUGAUAAACUGGAGGAAGGUGGGGAUGACGUCAAGUCAUCAUGGCCCUUACGACCAGGGCUACACACGUGCUACAAUGGCGCAUACAAAGAGAAGCGACCUCGCGAGAGCAAGCGGACCUCAUAAAGUGCGUCGUAGUCCGGAUUGGAGUCUGCAACUCGACUCCAUGAAGUCGGAAUCGCUAGUAAUCGUGGAUCAGAAUGCCACGGUGAAUACGUUCCCGGGCCUUGUACACACCGCCCGUCACACCAUGGGAGUGGGUUGCAAAAGAAGUAGGUAGCUUAACCUUCGGGAGGGCGCUUACCACUUUGUGAUUCAUGACUGGGGUGAAGUCGUAACAAGGUAACCGUAGGGGAACCUGC
rnacentral:rRNA from 1 species